UACGUAGGGGGCAAGCGUUGUCCGGAUUUAUUGGGCGUAAAGAGCGUGUAGGCGGCCAGACAGGUCCGUUGUGAAAACUCGAGGCUCAACCUCGAGAUGUCGAUGGAAACCAUCUGGCUAGAGUCCGGAAGAGGAGAGUGGAAUUCCUGGUGUAGCGGUGAAAUGCGCAGAUAUCAGGAAGAACACCCGUGGCGAAGGCGGCUCUCUGGUACGUGACUGACGCUGAGACGCGAAAGCGUGGGGAGCAAACAGG
rnacentral:rRNA from 1 species